GACGAACGCUGGCGGCGUGCUUAACACAUGCAAGUCGAACGAUGAAGCCGGAGCUUGCUCUGGUGAAUUAGUGGCGAACGGGUGAGUAACACGUGAGUAACCUGCCCUUGACUCUGGGAUAACUGCUAGAAAUGGUAGCUAAUACCGGAUACGACCCUCGGAGGCAUCUCCAGGGGGUGGAAAGAAUUUCGGUCAAGGAUGGACUCGCGGCCUAUCAGCUAGUUGGUGAGGUAACGGCUCACCAAGGCCACGACGGGUAGCCGGCCUGAGGGGGUGACCGGCCACACUGGGACUGAGACACGGCCCAGACUCCUACGGGAGGCAGCAGUGGGGAAUAUUGCACAAUGGGCGCAGGCCUGAUGCAGCAACGCCGCGUGAGGGAUGACGGCCUUCGGGUUGUAAACCUCUUUUAGUAGGGAAGAAGCGAAAGUGACGGUACCUGCAGAAAAAGCACCGGCUAACUACGUGCCAGCCGCCGCCGUAA
rnacentral:rRNA from 1 species